UACAGAGACUGCAAGCGUUAUUCGGAUUCACUGGGCGUAAAGGGUGCGCAGGCGGCCAAGUGUGUGAGGCGUGAAAGCCCGGGGGCUUAACCCCGGAAUUGCACCUCAAACUACAUGGCUAGAGCAUUGGAGAGGGUAGCGGAAUUCACGGUGUAGCAGUGAAAUGCGUAGAUAUCGUGAGGAACACCAGAGGCGAAGGCGGCUACCUGGACAAUUGCUGACGCUCAGGCACGAAAGCCGUGGGGGAGCAAAAGGG
rnacentral:rRNA from 1 species